AAAAAGACCACCCUUGCCCCUACCCAGUCCGAACAUAACCUAACCCCCUCAAUCUCUACUUCAUUUUCAGCUCAUUCCUAAACCCUAUCUCCUAAACACCCAAGCCUCCACCGUCGUCACCUCCCCCCCCCCAAACCAGAAGGACAACCCCGUCCAUCACCUGAACUCGUCGACCCUAGUCAGCUAGCGAACCAAAUAACCCUCUCCGUCGCUGCUCAACCCAGCGGCCUUCAGCUUGUCGACCAACUUUGCUGCUGCCCGUCGACUUCCUCAUCGUUCGUCACCACCCUCACGACCAACUGAACUAACAUCAACGACCAGUCACGUCCAAACGACCCUCCCACCAGCUACUGCUUCUUCAUAUCUAACAAAAUGACCCGUACUGCUUUGACGUCCUUCAGUCGUCGUCGAAAGAGAAUAGAGGUAAAAAUGAACAGAGUGAGGGAUUGAUGGAGAAACAAACGCUCCGAUCUGAAUAACGGGGGUAAGUGAGGCAGUCCGGUCAGGGCUCGUGAGGUUUCCGGUGAGGUUCCCGGAUAGAUUUUGUUUCCGUUCGAAUUCGUUGUUGUUCCGAUCCGGUCAGUUCGUUCAAGUUUCAUUUUUUUGUCUGUGUUUCAAUUUGUUCGAUUUUUUAAACCCAAAAUCAGUGUAUAUGUUUGAUCUAUUUGUUCGUUUUUCUCCUCUUUUACUUGCUUCUUAUGUGGUAACAUCUUAUGAUUGUUUGCUGGUUCGAAUCGCUUCAUUUUUGUGUAAUGUUUGGUUCCCUGCUCUUUGUCGUUCAUCAGUUUGCAUAUAAGUUCAGUUUAUUGUCGUCUAGUAUAUCACAGAGUUUCAUUCACUUUGUUUAGCUUAAUUUAGAAUUGUUAUUUACUUAGAGUCAUGGAGUCCUUAAUCUUCAUUUUGAUACUUUUUCUGAUGUGAAUGCAAGUUUGAACUAAUUUUGGUGAAUUGAAUCUUGAUGUUGUCCUGUAUUGAGCUUAGUUUUGAUGUGCUUGUUAGGAGUUAGUUCAUAUGGCUAAGUAUUUGAUUGAUAAGCUGAAUUGGUUAUAGUUGAUAGUUUUGUUACAGAUCGAAGGAGUCGGGGUAGGACAGUGAUUUUAGGCUUCCAAUGGGGUAAUUUGGGAAUUAAAAACUUGAAGAAUUUGUUUAGUUGAGUGCUAGUGUGUCAUUAAAAUAAUGAAGUGUUUAAUAAAAGUGGGGAACAAGACAUAAUAGGGAGGUUUAAAGGGAUUGAUAAAAUAAAGAAAGACAAGGGUUAGUGGGGAACAAGACAUAAUAAUGUAAAUAAAGGGAAAAGUGGUUUGAAAAGUAAAAAGGGGAAUAAUAAUGAAAAAGCUAAAAGUGUUCACAUAGUAGAAGAAUAUAUAAAGCUGAAAAGUAAAAAGGAGGAGAGGGUAAUAAAAGAAAAGUUUUUCUUUUACAAUUGUAAAAGAAGAAAAAAAAGGCGGGCUGAAAAAGGGUAAAGUUUUUGGGAUUAAAUAAAGAGAUUAGGAGAGUCAUUAAAAAAAAGAGGGGAGGAAGAGAACUAGUUCAAAGCUUGAAUACAAAAAUAGAGUGUUGAGAGUUUGGGAAUACUUCUAAAAGCAUUGAAAGAGAGUUUGAAGAGUUCUUAGACAACAUUUUGAGAAUUCUAAAGAGCAUUUUUUUUAGUUGAGAGAGAGGUCAAAAGUUGUUAAGCAUUUCAAUUUUUGAGAGUGAGGAAAGAUCAUUGUUACAUUAAAAAGAAAAGCGGGUUAUUUGCAUUUCAGUCCAUGUGUUCAAACUUGAGUUUUGGUAUUAUUUUGGGGUUGUUCUAUCGAGCCUGUUUGGUUUUCUUCAAAUUUUUCCGGGCUUCGAAUUUGGUUAGAAUUGCCGUUGUUGGGUUGUUGUUGUUGAUGUGUUAUCUGCUACUACUGCUGAUUUGCUCCUUUCUUCUUCUAUUUUCACUACCAGGUACACAUUCUGUAUCAUCCAUGUAGCUUACCCUAUCAAACAAUGAAAUGAAAUCAUAUAUCCAAAGCCAUAUUCGUUUGGAUGCAUACAACUGUAUUUGAUCAUCUGAUGAGUAGUAUACGUAUUUAGUUGAUCUAAUUUGUAUUAUAAUAAGAACUGUAUAAUUAGACUUUUCUGAACUACUUAAGCCAUUGACUAUAAUGGAACUGAUUUGGAUCGUUUUAAUUUGAGAUUGUUUAGUUGUAGUUUAAAUACAAGUAGUACCAUGCCAAGUUUAGCAUUUAUGCCUAUUUUAAAAAGAAGGAGAAACAGUCGAAUUUUCACCUUAGUUUGAAACCAAGCCUAAAGCUGAACUUGUGAUGUAAUGCCAGAGAAUUCAUCAAUAGAUUUAAUGCUUGAUAUAUGGAUUUUGAACUACUUAAUUAGUUCUUAUUACCAGAAUUGUAUGAUCCUAUUGCUUGGUCACACUUGAAUCUGCUUCUUCAUCUUUAAUAGAUGUUUAAGGAUUAAUCAGUAGCUAAACAUCUAAAAAUGGUAAGCCUUUAACUGGUGUUCGGUCAAUCAGCUUGAAGUAAUUUUUAUAGGCAUUUGGUAGGAUUUAAUCGAGGCUGCAUUUAACCACUAGCUUGUUUGCAGGUCGUUGGGGCCUGAAUGUACUAGCAGGCGGCCCAGGUCUUGUUUCGGUCCAAUAUUUAUAGGGAUUUUUACAUAUACAUCCCAUAUAGCAAACUUUAUUACCAUUAUUGUGCUUUGUUUGGUUAUUACCCGCAUAUUCCAUGUUUUCGUUACCAAAUNNNN
rnacentral:lncRNA from 1 species